GUGCCAGCAGCCGCGGUAAUACGAGAGGCCCAAACGUUAUUCGGAUUUACUGGGCUUAAAGAGUUCGUAGGCGGUCCGUCAAGUGGGGUGUGAAAGCCCUCGGCUCAACCGAGGAAUAGCGCUCCAAACUGUCGGACUCGAGGGAGAUAGAGGUGAGCGGAACUGAUGGUGGAGCGGUGAAAUGCGUUGAUAUCAUCAGGAACACCAGAGGCGAAGGCGGCUCACUGGGUCUCUUCUGACGCUGAGGAACGAAAGCUAGGGGAGCAAACGGGAUUAGAUACCCCAGUAGUCC
rnacentral:rRNA from 1 species